GUUAAAAAAAUAUACACAUUUACUUGUGAACAAUUUUUUCCUAAAAUAGAUGAUAAUCUUUCAUAAAGAAUGGAGGAUAUAGAAGAUGGUGAAUGUAGUAGUGAUGGGGAUAGUAUUGCUGGAUAUACACCUAUAGAGCGUCCUACAGAUGCUAAACCUUCUUUUAAACCUGCAGAUAUCCUUGAUGACACUGAUGAUGAUGACGAGGAUGAAUCAAGGGCUCAUCAAGAUGAUUCGGACUCCGACGAGGAUCGUCCAGCUGCUAAACGUAUGAAUAAAACUGGCCUCUGGGGUCGAAGGGAUGCACUGGUGCCGGAACCGACUGGAAAUGAAACCUUCAAGAUGAUGGCCGCCGCUUUCCAAGCAGACCGGAAAUCUAAGAAAAAGAAUAAUAUUUGGGGAACUAUUAUACAGGAGGAAUCAUUAAAUUCAACCCUCUCGGGGUUCGGAGUGAACAGAUCUCUGAAAGAUCUUGGAUCCGACCGCGGAGCAGAAACUUAUGAUUUCACUAUUCCGCUGGAAGAGAAAGCAAAGGAGAGACAGAGGCAGAAGGAGGCGAGGAAGAAGGACAAUAAACUGGAGGAGGAGAUGGAUAACUACUGGGGGUCUGGGGGACCUGGAGAUACAAUGGAGGAGACGGAAUCUCAACCUGUGAAACCUGAUGAGGGUUCUGAGGAGGUUGGGGAGAAGGAGGAGGGAGGGGAAAUAGAGGAGGGAAAGGGAGAGGAAAAGAGGGGAACAAAGAGAAGUGCGAAGGAGAGGUUGGGUAAGAGGAGAGUACCAAUUGACAGAUAUAACGGAGAGAGAUUAGCAGCACCUGGAGAUGCUAAGCAUUUAAUUGAUAUCGGAGAAGAAGAUCUUCUAGAGAACUCAGAUAAGGAGUUCGCCCAGCUUCUAGCAGACAGGCUAGGGGAGGAGAAACCAGAACUACUGGAGGGUCUGGUAUUUAAGUUUGGAAAAACCUUGGCACAUAAACUUUACAAAUUAACCCAAAAGACCGAGGCUGCCGGCGGCCUCGAAAUAAAUAACGGAGCACGUCGUCGUACGUCCGGUGGAGUAUACCUGUUCCUACUGAAGACUGAUCCCUCCCUCGGUAUUGAUCACGAAGCUGUUCGUGUAUUCCUCGCAGACUCUAAGAAGAAGGAGGACAGGAGAAUAUUAGAGGCUAGGAAGCGUAAAAAGAAAAAGGAUUUUAAUAAAGAAAUGAAGGAUUUCCUAAUCCUAAGGCAGAAUAUAGCGGAGAAGAAAGUGCAGGAAAUGGAAGAAGAUGGAGGAGAGGAGAAAACAGAAAUGGAGGAGAAGGAGGAGGAGAUAGAAGAACUAGUCGAGAUUGGAAAUAAUCCUUUCGCUAAAAUAAUUGGAUCCCUUGCUUCCAAAAAUGCACAGAAAGAAAGGUUAGUAUGUGAUCAGGAACCUGGCCCUCCUCCCAACAGUGUAGAGAGGGUGGAGAGAACACUGCAGGAGUACGACGACGACCUUUUCUGUACAACAGAUGAUAUUGAGCUUUCAUAAUCAAUCAUUCUUAAAAGAACUGUUAACUUAUUUUAACAGACCCACAAGUUUUGCUUUGAUUAAACCUUAAACCUCAGCAUUGAAGUUGUAGAUAUUUUUUUUCUAAAAAUUGAGAAUCUGCAGUACUUAAAAAACUCUCCUGUUUCAGAUGUACAAAAAACUUGAAACUUUUUUGUCCAUCCCUGAAACUAUCUGUAGAUGCAUUAGUGCUUGGUCAAUGGGAAAUAUAAAAAAGAGAAUAAUAAGAACUUGAAAUAAAACUGCUUUUUA
rnacentral:misc_RNA from 1 species